rnacentral:rRNA from 1 species
UGGGGAAUAUUGGACAAUGGGGGCAACCCUGAUCCAGCAAUGCCGCGUGAGUGAAGAAGGCCUUAGGGUUGUAAAGCUCUUUCGCCCGUGACGAUGAUGACGGUAACGGGAGAAGAAGCCCCGGCUAAUUCCGUGCCAGCAGCCGCGGUAAUACGGAAGGGGCUAGCGUUGUUCGGAUUUACUGGGCGUAAAGCGCAUGUAGGCGGCGGAUCAAGUGAGGCGUGAAAGGCCUGGGCUCAACCUGGGAACGGCGCUUCAGACUGGUUUGCUGGAGUUCGGGAGAGGGUGGUGGAAUUCCCAGUGUAGAGGUGAAAUUCGUAGAUAUUGGGAGGAACACCGGUGGCGAAGGCGGCCACCUGGCCCGAGACUGACGCUCAAGUGCGAAAGCGUGGGGAGCAAACAGGAUUAGAUACCCUGGUAGUCCACGCUGUAAACGAUGGGUGCUAGAUGUCGGGGGCUUGCCCUUCGGUGUCGCAGCUAACGCGUUAAGCA